rnacentral:rRNA from 1 species
UAGACCGCCUGGGGAGUACGGCCGCAAGGUUAAAACUCAAAUGAAUUGACGGGGGCCCGCACAAGCGGUGGAGCAUGUGGUUUAAUUCGAUGCAACGCGAAGAACCUUACCUGGUCUUGACAUCCACAGAACUUUCCAGAGAUGGAUUGGUGCCUUCGGGAACUGUGAGACAGGUGCUGCAUGGCUGUCGUCAGCUCGUGUUGUGAAAUGUUGGGUUAAGUCCCGCAACGAGCGCAACCCUUAUCCUUUGUUGCCAGCGGUUAGGCCGGGAACUCAAAGGAGACUGCCAGUGAUAAACUGGAGGAAGGUGGGGAUGACGUCAAGUCAUCAUGGCCCUUACGACCAGGGCUACACACGUGCUACAAUGGCGCAUACAAAGAGAAGCGACCUCGCGAGAGCAAGCGGACCUCAUAAAGUGCGUCGUAGUCCGGAUUGGAGUCUGCAACUCGACUCCAUGAAGUCGGAAUCGCUAGUAAUCGUGGAUCAGAAUGCCACGGUGAAUACGUUCCCGGGCCUUGUACACACCGCCCGUCACACCAUGGGAGUGGGUUGCAAAAGAAGUAGGUAGCUUAACCUUCGGGAGGGCGCUUACCACUUUGUGAUUCAUGACUGGGGUGAAGUCGUAACAAGGUAACCGUAGGGGAACCUGCGGUUGGAUCACCUCCUUACCUUAAAGAA